rnacentral:rRNA from 1 species
CAGCUACCUGGCGACAGGAUGCUAAUCCCAAAAACCUACUCUCAGUUCGGAUCGAAGUCUGCAACCCGACUUCGUGAAGCUGGAUUCGCUAGUAAUCGCGCAUCAGCCAUGGCGCGGUGAAUACGUUCCCGGGUCUUGUACACACCGCCCGUCACACCAUGGGAGUCGGAAAUGCCCGAAGUCGGUGACCCAACCGAAAGGAGGGAGCCGCCGAAGGCAGGUCUGAUAACUGGGGUGAAGUCGUAACAAGGUAUC